AUAAUACCGCACAUUAUAUAAGCCAAAUUUUGCAAUAUUAAUGGGGCAUGAUAUUCUUAAGAAUGCAUUAUAAAUGUUCUUAAGCACAUAGAAUGCGUUAUAAAUGGGUUCUCCCCUCAAGCUUCUAUUGUGUGUGUUUGGGGUUGGGGCUGGUGGUGAUGGUGACGAGGAAGAAAAUAAAUAAAGAACAACAACAAUUGGUUGGGUACUAGCACCACCAAUUAUCUCUAUCAUUUCAACACAUGCUAUCGCUAAUUAUGUGGGGAGUGAAGACCAACUGACUCAACAGGUUGAAAAGAAAUUUAUGGAAAAUUAUAGUAUGCAUUGAGUGCACUAAAAAAUAGUACUCAUAGAUACAUAGCUAUAAUUGUACUCUAAAUUAAGAAAUAAUAGGUCCUACGCCUUGUGAGGGAAGGAGCAAGCUUGACGCAAAGAUAAGAUACACAACACUAUUCCAUUUCCCUCUGUUUUUCCCCUGCUUCUCUCACCAAGGAAGUAGGAACUGAGUUUUUUUCUGGCACAGGAAAUUGUUUGGUGAACUAUUUAAAUGUAAACCUCCAGCAGGAUCAAUUACAGUUAUAUCCAAGUGGCUGAAUCCGACUAUUAUAUACCACUCUAUCAAUUGCAACCAAAUGAAUGAAA
rnacentral:misc_RNA from 1 species